AAACAUGUCUUUUUGAAAAUAAUUUAAAGUCUAAUCUGCCCACUGAUNAAAUUAUUAAAGGGCUGCAGUAUUUUGACUGUACAAAGGUAGCAUAAUCAUUAGUCUCUUAAUUGGUGACUUGUAUGAAAGAUUGGAUGAGAUAUAAACUGUCUCUAAUUAAUUUGUAAAAUUUAAUUUUUUAGUAAAAAAGCUAAAAUAAUUUUAAAAGACGAGAAGACCCUAUAGAGUUUAAUAAUUUAUUUAAUUAUUAUUAAUAUAUAAAUUUUAAAAUUAAAAUUAAAUAAAUUAUUUUGUUGGGGUGAUAGAAAAAUUAAAUUAACUUUUUUUUUAUUUUAAACAUUAAUUUAUGAAUAUAGGAUCCAUUAUUAUUGAUUAUAAGAAAAAAUUACCUUAGGGAUAACAGCGUAAUUUUUUUUUUUAGUUCAAAUAGGAAAAAAAGUUUGCGACCUCGAUGUUGGAUUAAGAUAAAAUUUAGAUGCAAAAG
rnacentral:rRNA from 1 species